rnacentral:rRNA from 1 species
CAGUAGCCGCGGUAAUACGGAGGGUGCAAGCGUUAAUCGGAAUUACUGGGCGUAAAGCGCACGCAGGCGGUUUGUUAAGUCAGAUGUGAAAUCCCCGAGCUUAACUUGGGAACUGCAUUUGAAACUGGCAAGCUAGAGUCUUGUAGAGGGGGGUAGAAUUCCAGGUGUAGCGGUGAAAUGCGUAGAGAUCUGGAGGAAUACCGGUGGCAAGGCGGCCCCCUGGACAAAGACUGACGCUCAGGUGCGAAAGCGUGGGGAGCAAACAGGAUUAGAUACCCCAGUAGUCCCUGUCUCUUAUACA